UGCUUAAUUUAUGCAUGUUUAAAUUUACAUGUUUAUUUAAAUAGCGGUAGGAAUAGGAAACUGGAUGUAUUUUUACAGCAAUUGUUUUACAGCUUACCAUGAGUAAUAGUGCAACACAUCCAGCUGACAAUAAUUUAACAUUGCAAUGACAACUGCGAAUCUCCAGAGGCAAUACAGCAAUACAUCUUACUUUCAGUUUCUAAACUAAACUUGGGACUCAACAUUUCAGCUUGACCACAGAGGAAGAGCUUUUUAACACUGUUUUUUAUAUUAGUAUGAAACAAGACCUCAUUGUUGCUGCUGAAUGAUGCUGGUUAGUACUACUGAGUCUACUUAGGCUAAGUUUUAUUUUGAGAAGAUAUGACAGCGAAAGAGAUGUGUGACACUUUUGGCGAAUGGUAUCGCUACUUCUUGUUCAGUGUCUGGGUCAUCGACAUCGUCCUGAUAUUUUUGGUUUAUCACUUAGAAACAUGUUUGAAAGAAAUAACAGAAAAUUACCAAAGGGACAGAAGUCAAGAAGAGGACUAUGUCAACCACGGAGAAAGCAGCUUUACAUGUGCGCAAGCCAGCUGAAGCAGUAAUUGAACAAUCCAUGUACAAUUGCUCUCAUGCAAAAAUGACAGUUCAAAGAAAGAACUGAUGCGUUGUAAUGGAAUGUUUCAAUAUAGACCUAUUUCAUUAAAGGAAUUUAUGUUCACCACAUUCAAAUGUAUAUUCUGUGCAGCAAUCUGCAGUAAAUUUGAACAGGUACAGCUUGAUAAU